CGGCCCUUACAAUUAUUUGAUAUAUUAAAUAUUUCAUAGGCAAACCCAGAAUAUAUCUAACAAUGGAAGGCACCAGGAUGUCUAUUUCCUUCUUAUUCUCUCACCCCCAGCAUCUGCAACAUACUGGCUUUCCUCUCUUUCGCAUCUUGAUAAACGAGAUUGGGAUGUUGUAGUGCAGCAUGUGCACGGUCUCUAGGCUCUCCACAGUACUGCAUUGCAACAAAGAGAUGCUAUAACCGGCAUGCAUGUCCCAUGGUUUUC
rnacentral:lncRNA from 1 species